CCCCCAGGCUUUUUACAUACCAGAGGCUGCCAGGAACUCCAGGAGCUUCUGAUGAGUGACUAGACUCAUUCAGGUUCAGCAGGAGCCACCCAGGGUACCCUCAGAAGCCUUAGCCAGGACAGCAAAGCUCUGGAGAAUGUAGAGAGAACUCAGUAAAUGUAGAGAGAGCUGGUAGACACCAAAUGCCUUCCAUGCCUGGACUCACAGCAACAUCAUCAGGAAGGAGUGAUACUUUGCCUGUUUCACAGGAAAAUGAGGUCAAGCGACCACACUAAGGUGGCACAGAACCUUGGUCUACCUUCAUCCAAAGCUCAUUCCGACAGUCGUCAUACUUGAUGCAGCAAGUGCUAAGACGCAUGAUGUCAGCUGGGUAAUGCUAGCAGCCUGAGAUGCCGGAACUCAACUCGCCACUUUCCAACUAAGGAUCUCUUGAACUCACUGAUCUGCCUAUUCGCUGCAAUCCGCUUUUUAUAACAGAGAGAUAGGCCAACUGCUGGCCCCACACCAUUUCCUCCGAGAAGACUGAUGGGCACUGAAGAAGCUUCAUCUCGAGUCAGUGACAACGCUAGUCACUGAGCAACCCUGCCCUUCACCUCAACUACUACAAAGUAUUCAAGACCUUGGGCAAGAGGACAAUGGAAUCGACUUUCUCGGCGUUGCUUGGGCCAACGGUAGGCGAGUCUUCCCAAAGUCUGUAAUCCACAGGUCACAAGCUAUCAGCAAGAAGGCAGGUGUCCUGCAGCCCACUACUAUGGAUGGAGGACCUUGGGGAUGGCUGUCCAUACAGCCUGCUGGCAAGUCUCUGUUAUUCUUUAAUCAUUGAUUCAGGUAAAAUCUUAUCCUUCUCAAGAACUCUGAUGCUUUUGACGACUGGUAGUCUUGCCAGCUUAAAGCAAAACAGAUUCCAGUAACAGGUAUUUUAGGGUUUAUGUAUAUGAAGAUAGGAAAGUCUAAGAUGUAUAAAAGUCUGAGAAUGUAAUUACAAAGGCCUGAGGAUAAAAAUGCUUGAAUGAUGAUAAAAUGAGUUGAGACAUUAAAAAGAAUGAAAUAUGUUCUGGAUUUCUCUAUUUCUCAUGCUACUGUUCAUAGUCUACAAUACCACUAUAGGAUCAUAACUACAAGGUCAAGGUUAAGAUGCUUUUUAUUGUCAAAAAAAUCUAUUUUUAAAUGGUAAUACUUUCAGCCAAGUUGCUUCUAACAUGAAUAUGCUUCUAACAUGUCUAAUACUUAUGUUUCCACAAACUCUAAGGAUUCUUGUAAGUUCCAGGGAGCCGAUUCAGAUCCAAACAGGUCAGCUUCACUCCAGGUAAUAUUCAAUCUUUCCCUGGUCCCAGGAUUCCCUUCCCUCAUAUUAGGACUCCUCGGGAACCCCUCCCUCAUCUUACAAUCUUCCCCUCAAAUGACAGGACCUAAGAAAAAAAAUUUUUCUAAACUUAACCUUGUCCUCUGCUCUGUCAACACCUUGCCAGGUCUAAGAGACGCCAGGUAGUUCCAUAUAGCCUGGACUACAAUGAAACAACCAGCUUCCCCAGGACGUGGCAGCACCCCAAACUUCUCGGGUCCCCCAAAGAUGGUCAACGCCCCCCACGUCAGCAGGAAGCAGUCUUAAGAAUUCGACGCCCUUAUUCCUUAACCUGCCAUGUCUAAACACCCCACCUUUUUUAAAUAAUAAGUAGAGGUGGGAAUGAAAGGUUCAGGCAUUAUGCUGGCCUGCCCCUGUUACCUGGUGAAACAGGCAGUACCCUGGUCAGCCCAAGGUUCCAUGGGAACUAAGUCUGCACACAGGUGCAGAGGACCCCUUUAAAAGAUAAGUCCCUGCCCCUUUACGCUCUCUCUCUCUCUCUGUUCCCGUUUUCUCUGUUUCUCUGUUUCUCUGUUCCCGCUCUCCCUGUCUGUUCCCGUUCUCUGUCUCUCUGUUCCUCUGUCCCGCUCUGUCUCUCUAUGGCGACCGGCCAUGGCGGUCAGCCAUUUACCCUGUUCCUCUUCUUAGUCUCCC
rnacentral:lncRNA from 1 species